rnacentral:rRNA from 1 species
AUUGAACGCUGGCGGCAGGCCUAACACAUGCAAGUCGAGCGAGCGGCGGACGGGUGAGUAAUGUCUGGGAAACUGCCUGAUGGAGGGGGAUAACUACUGGAAACGGUAGCUAAUACCGCAUACCAUCAGAUGUGCCCAGAUGGGAUUAGCUAGUAGGUGGGGUAAUGGCGCACCUAGGCGACGAGCCCUAGCUGGUCGGAGAGGAUGACCAGUCACACUGGAAAUGAGACACUGUCCAGACUCCUACGGGAGGCAGCAGGGGGGAAUAUUGUACAAUGGGCGCAAGCCUGAUGCAGCCAUGCCGCGUGUGUGAAGAAGGCCUUCGGGUUGUAAAGCACUUUCAGCGGGGAGGCGUUACCCGCAGAAGAAGCACCGGCUAACUCCGUGCCAGCAGCCGCGGUAAUAC